rnacentral:rRNA from 1 species
GAUGAACGCUGGCGGCGUGCCUAACACAUGCAAGUCGAACGAUGAAACCGCCUCCGGGCGGACAUGAAGUGGCGAACGGGUGAGUAACACGUGACCGACCUGCCCCCCGCCCAGGGACAGCCCCCCGAAAGGGGGAUUAAUACCUGGUACUCCGGAAGCGGCGCAUGCCGCCCCCGGGAAAGCUCUGGCGGCGGGGGAUGGGGUCGCGGCCCAUCAGGUAGACGGCGGGGCAGAGGCCCACCGUGCCGACGACGGGUAGCCGGGUUGAGAGACCGACCGGCCACAUUGGGACUGAGAUACGGCCCAGACUCCUACGGGAGGCAGCAGUGGGGAAUUUUGCGCAAUGGGGGCAACCCUGACGCAGCAACGCCGCGUGCGGGACGAAGGCGUCCGCGUCGUAAACCGCUUUCAGCGGGGAACACUUUUCGAGGGUACCCGCAGAAGAAGCCCCGGCUAAAUACGUGCCAGCAGCCGCGGUAACAC